CGGAGCCAGCCCGCGUUCCCGGCAUGCCCCGGGGCGGCGGGGUUGGCUCUAACGAAUUUGAAUGAGGAGCCUCGGCGCUUUCGGCGCCAUUUUCGAGUGAUGCCUGAGCUCAUCAAUCUAGCGGGACGGAAGGGAUAACCUGUCCGAGCGUAGCGGGACGCUGGGAUGGCGCCGAAAACCCCCCCAGAAAUCAUCAAAAAACAAGCAAACAAACAAAAACCCCAAAUAACGGAAACCAAAGGGCCGUCGGCGGAGCUCGGCCAGAUCUGGCGCGGACGAUUUUAACCUUUAGAAGAGAACCAAUUCUGGAAAACAGCCUAAGUUUCUUUGACUGAAUACCGACAUCAUGAAUUGGAACAUGAUAGAGGAUUAAGGUUUAACAAUGAUAAAUGAAGACAUUACUAAAACAGCCUGCUUAGUAGCUCAACAAUUAUUUUUGCUAGAGAUGGAACCCAGGGCCUUACAGGAACCUAGGCAAGCACUUUACCUCCCUACCUCUUUAUCUGUGGAAUAUGGAUGUCCUAGAAGUGGCAUGAUGAUGUUAAUGCUAGCUGCUGUCAGUUGAGUAAUGGUAGUAUUUUGCAUUCAUUUUUCCAAGUUGCAUAAAGAGUUUUCUUUCCAGUUUAAAGUUCUAGUAGAAAGUUUUUGUUGCUUAAGAAAUUCAAAAGUCAUUGAUCUUUUUUUCUCAUUGCUUUUUCUUUUUGUAAAUGCUUUUAUUUCCCACAUUGCAUUUUUAGCUACCUAAACUUAAAUUAUCUAUUUAUAUAAUGCAAAUUUAAAAUGUAUUAUU